UACGUAGGGUGCGAGCGUUAAUCGGAAUUAUUGGGCGUAAAAGGCUUGUAGGUGGCCACGCCAAGUCGGAUGUGAAAUCUCCCGGCUCAACUGGGAGGGGUCAUUCGAUACUGGCGGGCUCGAGGCCGGUAGGGGGAAGUGGAAUUCCCGGUGUAGUGGUGAAAUGCGUAGAUAUCUGGAGGAACACCGGUGGCGAAGGCGGCAUCCUGGACCGACACUGACGCUGAUGAGCGAAAGCCAGGGGAGCAAACGGG
rnacentral:rRNA from 1 species